CAUUUUGGUUGGUUCCAGGUCUUUGCGAUUGUAAACAGUGCCACAAUGAAAAUACGGGUGCACGUGUCUUUAUAACAGAAUAAUUUAUAAUUCUUUGGGUAUAUACCCAGUAACGGGAUCACCGGGUCAAAUGAUAUUGCUUAUUCUAGAUCUUUGGAGGAA